rnacentral:lncRNA from 1 species
GAAUUCUUAAUUCAAAUUGUUUUAAUUUCUUGUCUGUUGAUGAACUGGUCUUACUCAGCUAUUUGGUUUCAUACAGCGGAGUCAAAGUUAAUGGAAACUGAGAUUGAAAUGUAGUUAGGGAUCCCUGGUUUUGAUAUACUUUUGGCUAUGAAGUUGAGCAUGGGAAUAUUACGGAGAAGAAUGAUUAGAGAUGCUGUAUGUAUUAAGUUUUUACUGAUUGUGGUCC